GAAACCCCCUAACGAGUUCCCUACCUUUACACCGGGCCAAUCAGAAUGUGGCAUGAGGGGUUAAUUACCCUGCGAGCCGUCUGUGAACACCAGGAGGCAGUGGGGCCAUGAGGCCAGGAGGCAGUGAGGCCGUGAGGCCAGGAGGCAGUGGGGCAGUGAGGCCGUGAGGCAGUGAGGCCGUGAGGCCAGGAGGCAGUGAGGCCAGGAGGCAGUGAGGCCGUGAGGCCAGGAGGCAGUGAGGCAGUGAGGCUGUGAGGCUGUGGGGCCGUGGGGCCAUGAGGCCGUGAGGCAGUGGGGCCAGGAGGCCGUGAGGCAGUGAGGCCGUGAGGCUGGCAUGUGGAGUUUACCUAAAGAUGACACCCUGCAGGAGCGGUAUCUUACGGCUGUCUGUAAUCCGAGCCGUGAGCUACGGUUACGGUUAAGCUAGCCCUCAUGGCUCAGAUAAGAGACUGUCUCCGUUUAGCGUGUAGUUAGCAAGGUUAGCAUCUCUGUUAGUCUCCCUGUAGCCAUUUAUCCUGUAGUUUAUCAAGGAUAGCAUCUCUGUUUAGUCUCCCUGUCUCAGUUUAGCCUGUAGUUAGCAAGGUUAGCAUUCUAAUAUUCUCUCAGUCUCUGUUGUUGUGCCUGUAGUUUGGAAUUUGACGCCAAUGUCAUUAUCUGUGAUUUAUUUAGACUUCAAUUAGCCAGAUUAGCUCCUGCCUGUCCUAUUGAUUUUCCUCUGGUACCCAGAUGAUGUUGGCGCUAGUUUUCCAACAGUUAAGGUUAGCUUGCUGUUUUCAAACUGAACUUUUUUUUUUCCCUUUCUUAACCCCAUCUCAGUGCUGAGAGUCGUGUCACAGUACUGUGAGCUACUGGGCAGCAGUAGCUCAGGAGGUAGAGCGGGUCGGCUGGUAACCUGAAGGUCUCUCUCUCCCUCCCUCCCUCUCUCUCUCUCUCUCUCUCUCUCUCUCC
ensembl:lncRNA